rnacentral:rRNA from 1 species
UGGUACGUAUUUGCUCUUUGAUGCAGUCGAGCGGAACGAGAAGUAGCUUGCUACUUCGGCGUCGAGCGGCGGACGGGUGAGUAAUGCCUGGGAAAUUGCCUUGAUGUGGGGGAUAACCAUUGGAAACGAUGGCUAAUACCGCAUAAUGCUUUUGUUUGUAAUGAACGGAAGCCAAAGAGGGGGACCUUCGGGCCUCUCGCGUCAAGAUAUGCCCAGGUGGGAUUAGCUAGUUGGUGAGGUAAUGGCUCACCAAGGCGACGAUCCCUAGCUGGUCUGAGAGGAUGAUCAGCCACACUGGAACUGAGACACGGUCCAGACUCCUACGGGAGGCAGCAGUGGGGAAUAUUGCACAAUGGGCGCAAGCCUGAUGCAGCCAUGCCGCGUGUAUGAAGAAGGCCUUCGGGUUGUAAAGUACUUUCAGCAGUGAGGAAGGUGGAUGUGUUAAUAGCGCAUUCAUUUGACGUUAGCUGCAGAAGAAGCACCGGCUAACUCCGUGCCAGCAGCCGCGGUAAUACGGAGGGUGCGAGCGUUAAUCGGAAUUACUGGGCGUAAAGCGCAUGCAGGUGGAUGAUUAAGUCAGAUGUGAAAGCCCGGGGCUCAACCUCGGAAUAGCAUUUGAAACUGGUCAUCUAGAGUACUGUAGAGGGGGGGUAGAAUUUCAGGGUGUAG